GGGGUCCCCAGCGCCCCCUGCUUCUUCCUCGCCAGGCACUAAUGGCUGCAGAGAGGGGAGCUGGAAGGAUGAGGAGGAUGGACCUCUGGACGUGGACAGGCUGUGUGACUGCAACAUCAGAUCCCGGACUGCUUACUACCUAGAUAAAGGUCGGCAAGAGGAAUAUGGAAUAUGGAUGAACCACAGCUAUGGAGCACCUUGGAUGGAGAUCAAAUAAGCUCUCUUGAUGGACCACUCUUGUCCCUUGCAGAGCAGCAUGUAUAAGGGGCAUGCAAGCUCUGCAUAAUCGUAUAUAAAAUCCCAAGAAAAGCCUACCAAUCCCAGGCAAGAUCUCAGUUAUGUCCCUGGGAGCUGGUAAUUUGCAGUUCAGAUUGAUUCAAUCGGUAUCUGGACUUUGCCCUUCAACUCUGAGCUCGACUCCAAGGUAAGUGACUUUCUGCUGUACAAGUUGGGCUUUUUGCAGGCUAACAAGGAAGCCCGUUCUUUGGAUGUUCAGGACCUCACUCAAAACAACAAGUUCUCCUCCCUGGUCUUUGUAGCCACCAAUAUAUAAUCCACAUAGCUGAUAACCCGGUCCUUGUAGACUAGGUUUCU